rnacentral:rRNA from 1 species
ACUUAAAUUGAAGAGUUUGAUCAUGGCUCAGAUUGAACGCUGGCGGCAGGCCUAACACAUGCAAGUCGAGCGGUAGCACAGAGAGCUUGCUCUCGGGUGACGAGCGGCGGACGGGUGAGUAAUGUCUGGGAAACUGCCUGAUGGAGGGGGAUAACUACUGGAAACGGUAGCUAAUACCGCAUAAUGUCGCAAGACCAAAGUGGGGGACCUUCGGGCCUCAUGCCAUCAGAUGUGCCCAGAUGGGAUUAGCUAGUAGGUGGGGUAACGGCUCACCUAGGCGACGAUCCCUAGCUGGUCUGAGAGGAUGACCAGCCACACUGGAACUGAGACACGGUCCAGACUCCUACGGGAGGCAGCAGUGGGGAAUAUUGCACAAUGGGCGCAAGCCUGAUGCAGCCAUGCCGCGUGUGUGAAGAAGGCCUUCGGGUUGUAAAGCACUUUCAGCGGGGAGGAAGGCGGUGAGGUUAAUAACCUCAUCGAUUGACGUUACCCGCAGAAGAAGCACCGGCUAACUCCGUGCCAGCAGCCGCGGUAAUACGGAGGGUGCAAGCGUUAAUCGGAAUUACUGGGCGUAAAGCGCACGCAGGCGGUCUGUCAAGUCGGAUGUGAAAUCCCCGGGCUUAACCUGGGAACUGCAUUCGAAACUGGCAGGCUAGAGUCUUGUAGAGGGGGGUAGAAUUCCAGGUGUAGCGGUGAAAUGCGUAGAGAUCUGGAGGAAUACCGGUGGCGAAGGCGGCCCCCUGGACAAAGACUGACGCUCAGGUGCGAAAGCGUGGGGAGCAAACAGGAUUAGAUACCCUGGUAGUCCACGCCGUAAACGAUGUCGAUUUGGAGGUUGUGCCCUUGAGGCGUGGCUUCCGGAGCUAACGCGUUAAAUCGACCGCCUGGGGAGUACGGCCGCAAGGUUAAAACUCAAAUGAAUUGACGGGGGCCCGCACAAGCGGUGGAGCAUGUGGUUUAAUUCGAUGCAACGCGAAGAACCUUACCUGGUCUUGACAUCCACAGAACUUUCCAGAGAUGGAUUGGUGCCUUCGGGAACUGUGAGACAGGUGCUGCAUGGCUGUCGUCAGCUCGUGUUGUGAAAUGUUGGGUUAAGUCCCGCAACGAGCGCAACCCUUAUCCUUUGUUGCCAGCGGUUCGGCCGGGAACUCAAAGGAGACUGCCAGUGAUAAACUGGAGGAAGGUGGGGAUGACGUCAAGUCAUCAUGGCCCUUACGACCAGGGCUACACACGUGCUACAAUGGCAUAUACAAAGAGAAGCGACCUCGCGAGAGCAAGCGGACCUCAUAAAGUAUGUCGUAGUCCGGAUUGGAGUCUGCAACUCGACUCCAUGAAGUCGGAAUCGCUAGUAAUCGUAGAUCAGAAUGCUACGGUGAAUACGUUCCCGGGCCUUGUACACACCGCCCGUCACACCAUGGGAGUGGGUUGCAAAAGAAGUAGGUAGCUUAACCUUCGGGAGGGCGCUUACCACUUUGUGAUUCAUGACUGGGGUGAAGUCGUAACAAGGUAACCGUAGGGGAACCUGCGGUUGGAUCACCUCCUUACCUUAAAGAA